rnacentral:rRNA from 1 species
UUAUAAAUAAAGUUAAUUAAAAAAAGAUUAAAUGAAAUCAUUAAAUUUAAAUAAUUUGGCGGUAUUUUAAAUAGUUAGAGGAAUUUGUUAAUUAAAUGAUAGUCCACGAGUGGCGGGUCCUAAUAAAAUUUUAUGUAUUGUUGUAUAAAAAUUAUUUUAUUAGAAUUAUAAUUAAUAAAUUUGAUUUAAUUUGAAUUCAAAUCAAAAUGUAGAAUUGUUAGGUUAUAAUGAAUUACAAUUUAAUAUAGUAAUGGAGUUAUUUUUUUAAAAAAAUAAUAAAAUAGGAUUUAAAAGUAAAUUAAAAAAAUAUUA